UACGUAGGGGGCGAGCGUUGUCCGGAUUUAUUGGGCGUAAAGAGCGUGUAGGCGGCCAGGUAGGUCUGCUGUGAAAACUCGAGGCUCAACCUCGAGACGUCGGCGGAAACCAUCUGGCUAGAGUCCGGAAGAGGAGAGUGGAAUUCCUGGUGUAGCGGUGAAAUGCGCAGAUAUCAGGAAGAACACCCGUGGCGAAGGCGGCUCUCUGGGUCGUACCUGACGCUGAGGCGCGAAAGCGUGGGGAGCGAACGGG
rnacentral:rRNA from 1 species